rnacentral:rRNA from 1 species
CAAAAAGUAUAAAAUUUAGGUAGUAUUAGAUGUCUUAAAACUUAAAAAAUUUGGCGGUGUUUUAAUCUUAUUAGAGGAACUUGUUUUGUAAUCGAUGAUACACGACAAAUCUUACUUAGGUUUACGCUUGUAUAUCGUUGUAAUAAUAAUAUUUUAUGACCAUUAUUAGGGGUAAUUUUAUUUUUAAUAUCAGAUCAAGGUUCAGUUUAUACUUAAGUAUAAAAUGGGUUACAAUAUAAUAAUAUAUUACGAAAUUUAUACUUUAAAAAUAAAUGAAGGAGGAUUUAAAAGUAUUUUUGUAGUAAUGUGUUGAUUUGAAUUGGUUCUAAAACAUGC